UACAGAGGGUGCGAGCGUUAAUCGGAAUUACUGGGCGUAAAGGGUGCGUAGGUGGCGGCUUAAGUUAGGUGUGAAAGUCCUGGGCUUAACCUGGGGAUUGCGCCUGAUACUGGGCUGCUAGAGUAUUGUAGAGGAAAGUGGAAUUUCCGGUGUAGCGGUGAAAUGCGUAGAUAUCGGAAGGAACAUCGGUGGCGAAGGCGGCUUUCUGGACAGAUACUGACACUGAGGCACGAAAGCGUGGGGAGCAAACAGG
rnacentral:rRNA from 1 species